GGUGAACGCUGGCGGCGUGCCUAAGACAUGCAAGUCGAGCGGGGCAGGUUUAUACCUGUUCCGCGGCGGACGGGGGAGUAACGCGUGGGUGACCUACCCGGAAGAGGCGGACAACCUGGGAAAACCAGGCUAACCCGGCACGCGGUCCUGUUCAGUGGGGGAGGACCAAAGGGUGGAUAGGCCGCUUCCGGGUGCGGCCGCGUCCCAUUAGCUAGGUGGUGGGGUAAAGGGCCACCAAGGCGACGGCGGGUAGCCGGUCUGAGCAGAAGGGCGGCCACACGGGCACCGAGACACGGGCGCCACUCCUACGGGAGGCAGCUGUUAGAAAUCUUCCACCAUGGACGGAAGUCGGACGGAGCGACGCGGCGUGGAGCAGGGAGCCAAUCGGGGUGUUAACUCCUGAACUGGGGACGAAAGCCCUGUGUAGGGGGUUGCCGGUACCCAGGUAAAAGCGCCGGCCAACUCCGUG
rnacentral:rRNA from 1 species